CCUACGGGAGGCUGCAGUGGGGAAUAUUGGACAAUGGGGGGAACCCUGAUCCAGCCAUGCCGCGUGUGUGAAGAAGGCCCUCGGGUUGUAAAGCACUUUCAGUGAGGAAGAACGCCUGGUGGUUAAUACCCAUCAGGAAAGACAUCACUCACAGAAGAAGCACCGGCUAACUCCGUGCCAGCAGCCGCGGUAAUACGGAGGGUGCGAGCGUUAAUCGGAAUUACUGGGCGUAAAGCGCGCGUAGGUGGCUUGAUAAGCCGGUUGUGAAAGCCCCGGGCUCAACCUGGGAACGCCAUCCGGAACUGUCAAGCUAGAGUGCAGGAGAGGAAGGUAGAAUUCCCGGUGUAGCGGUGAAAUGCGUAGAGAUCGGGAGGAAUACCAGUGGCGAAGGCGGCCUUCUGGACUGACACUGACACUGAGGUGCGAAAGCGUGGGUAGCAAACAGGAUUAGAUACCCCAGUAGUC
rnacentral:rRNA from 1 species